rnacentral:tRNA from 1 species
CGCAGCGUAGCUUAACAGUAGAGCGCCAAGCUCAUAACUUGGUCGAUGCGGGUGCAAAUCCCACUGCUGUCA